CUCCCAUAGCUCAGUCGGUAGAGCGACGGACUGUUAAUCCGCAGGUCCCUGGUUCGAGCCCAGG
rnacentral:tRNA from 1 species